rnacentral:rRNA from 5 species
CUUUAUUGGAGAGUUUGAUCCUGGCUCAGGAUGAACGCUGGCGGCGUGCCUAAUACAUGCAAGUCGAGCGAAUGGAUUAAGAGCUUGCUCUUAUGAAGUUAGCGGCGGACGGGUGAGUAACACGUGGGUAACCUGCCCAUAAGACUGGGAUAACUCCGGGAAACCGGGGCUAA